GCAUUAAAAUAUUCUAUUUGUACAAGUGUAACAUAUGGACAUUCAUCAUCCUAGGACAACUUUGCAGCAUAACCCUAUUAUGCUAGGACAACAUUAUAUUAGGAUGAUGAAGUGGUGAAUCAUAUAUGCAUCAUUUCAUAUCAUCAUAUGAAAGCAUAAUAAAUGACAUAAAUUAUUUUAUAGCAUGAAUCAUACUAUGCAUCAUAUAAAUAUUAUGUACAUAUGAUUGAACCAAAC
rnacentral:lncRNA from 1 species